GAUGAACGCUGGCGGCGUGCCUAAUACAUGCAAGUCGAGCGAACAGACGAGGAGCUUGCUCCUUUGACGUUAGCGGCGGACGGGUGAGUAACACGUGGAUAACCUACCUAUAAGACUGGGAUAACUUCGGGAAACCGGAGCUAAUACCGGAUAACAUUUUGAACCGCAUGGUUCAACAGUGAAAGACGGUCUUGCUGUCACUUAUAGAUGGAUCCGCGCCGCAUUAGCUAGUUGGUAAGGUAACGGCUUACCAAGGCAACGAUGCGUAGCCGACCUGAGAGGGUGAUCGGCCACACUGGAACUGAGACACGGUCCAGACUCCUACGGGAGGCAGCAGUAGGGAAUCUUCCGCAAUGGGCGAAAGCCUGACGGAGCAACGCCGCGUGAGUGAAGAAGGUCUUCGGAUCGUAAAACUCUGUUAUUAGGGAAGAACAAAUGUGUAAGUAACUAUGCACGUCUUGACGGCACCUAAUCAGAAAGCCACGGCUAACUACGUG
rnacentral:rRNA from 1 species